CAGGACCAAGGGAGAGGGGAGGGAACCCCCAAACAGGGGAGCGACAGGACCAAGGGAAGGGAGGGAACCCCCAAACAAGAGCACAACAGGACCAAGGGAGGGGAGGGAACCUCCAACAGGGGAGCGACAGGUGUUGACCCAUUAAUAA